rnacentral:rRNA from 1 species
UGCAUUUUUGUCGUCAGCUCAGGUUGUGAGACGAUGGGGUAAGUCCCGCAACGAGCGCAACCCUAGUCGUUAGUUGCCAGCAUUAAGUUGGGCACUCUAAUGAGUCUUCCGGUGUCAAACCGGAGGAAGGUGGGGAUGACGUCAAGUCCUCAUGGCCCUUAUGACCAGGGCUUCACACGUCAUACAAUGGUCGGUACAGAGGGUCGCUAAGCCGCGAGGUAGUUCCAAUCUCAUAAAACCGAUCGUAGUCCGGAUCGCAGUCUGCAACUCGAAUGCGUGAAGUCGGAAUCGCUAGUAAUCGCGGAUCAGCAUGUCGCGGUGAAUACGUUCCCGGGCCUUGUACACACCACCCGUCACACCAUGGGAGUGGAAUCCGCCAGAAGUGGGUAUGGUAACCGUAAGAGCCCGCUA